rnacentral:rRNA from 1 species
UACAGAGGUCUCAAGCGUUGUUCGGAUUCAUUGGGCGUAAAGGGUGUGUAGGUGGCGCGCUAAGUCGGGUGUGAAAUUUCGGAGCUUAACUCCGAAACUGCAUUCGAUACGGGCAGACUAGAGUAUGGCAGGGGAGACUGGAAUUCCUGGUGUAGCGGUGAAAUGCGCAGAUAUCAGGAGGAACACCGGUGGCGAAGGCGGGUCUCUGGGCCAAAACUGACGCUGAGGAGCGAAAGCGUGGGGAGCGAACAGG